UACAGAGGUCCCAAGCGUUGUUCGGAUUCACUGGGCGUAAAGGGUGCGUAGGCGGUCGUGUAAGUCUGAUGUGAAAUCUCACAGCUUAACUGUGAAACUGCAUUGGAUACUAUCCGGCUAGAGGAAUGGAGGGGGGACUGGAAUACUUGGUGUAGCAGUGAAAUGCGUAGAUAUCAGGUGGAACACCAGUGGCGAAGGCGAGUCUCUGGACAUUUCCUGACGCUGAGGCACGAAAGCCAGGGGAGCAAACGGG
rnacentral:rRNA from 1 species